rnacentral:rRNA from 1 species
UACUCAUUAGAGUCUUGUAUUUAUUUUUUAUUAGGUUUUUGUUCCUUUUGCAUCAUGAUAAUUGGAUUAUUUUAUUUAUUGUAUAAUACCGAAAACCUUUGAUUUUUAUGUUAGAUUGUUAAGAACUUUUAUCGGGUAGAAUUUAAAAUCUAUGUAAAGAUGUGAAAAAUUACUCGCUUGGGUUUAUAUCUGUUUUUAGGUUAUUUAUUUUGUAUUAUUUGGCAGGCGAUGAGGUCUGUCAAAGGUUUAUAUUAAAUCUUCAUUUUUAUUUAUAAAAGAGUUAAAAUUACUCAUUUAUUAUAAGUGUUUUACAACUUUAUUUACAUGAUUAUUUAAUUAGUUUUAUUAGCCUAACUAUUUAAUCAAUUUAUUUGUUGAUCAGUUAAUUAGUAAUGUUAACAUUCUUUUUAUUUCUCAAUAAUAGCCCGUCUGUUUAUUAAAAACAUUUCCAUGGUUAUUAUUCCAUGGUAAAGCCUGCUCUAUGUCUUUUGAUAAAUGGCCGCAGUAUAUUGACUGUGCUAAGGUAGCAUAAUUAAUUGCCUCUUAAUUAGAGGCUUGUUUGAAUGGCUUGACGAGGUUGUAUAAAAUAUUAAGAAUAUAUUUGAAUUUAAUUGUAAGGGCACAGAAUCCUUUAAUUUUAAUAAGACAGAAAGACCCCAGGAUCUUUCAUUUUUGCCUGGGGCAGGUAAUAUUUUUUCAAUAAUGUUAUGACCCAUAUUUUAUGUUCAAAGAUUUAAGUUACCCUGGGGAUAACAGUGUAAUUACUUAUUAGAGGCCUUAUCGAAUAAGUUGUUUGCUACCUCGAUGUUGACUUAGGUUAUUAAAUAAGCGCAGUAGUUUAUUUAUUAGGGUCUGUUCGACCUAUAAAACCUCCAUGAGUUGAGUUAAGACCGGCGUAAGCCAGGUUGGUUCCUAUCUAUUGAUGUGACUUAUUAGUACGAAAGGAUUGUAAGUCUUUUUAUU